rnacentral:rRNA from 1 species
GAUGAACGCUGGCGGCGUGCCUAAUACAUGCAAGUCGAGCGAAUGGAUUAAGAGCUUGCUCUUAUGAAGUUAGCGGCGGACGGGUGAGUAACACGUGGGUAACCUGCCCAUAAGACUGGGAUAACUCCGGGAAACCGGGGCUAAUACCGGAUAACAUUUUGAACCGACUGGUUCGAAAUUGAAAGGCGGCUUCGGCUGUCACUUAUGGAUGGACCCGCGUCGCAUUAGCUAGUUGGUGAGGUAACGGCUCACCAAGGCAACGAUGCGGAGCCGACCGGAGAGGGUGAUCGGCCACACUGGGACUGAGACACGGCCCAGACUCCUACGGGAGGCAGCAGGAGGGAAUCUUCCGCAAUGGACGAAAGUCUGACGGAGCAACGCCGCGUGAGUGAUGAAGGCUUUCGGGUCGUAAAACUCUGUUGUUAGGGAAGAACAAGUGCUAGUUGAAUAAGCUGGCACCUUGACGGUACCUAACCAGAAAGCCACGGCUAACUACGUGCCAGCAGCCGCCGUAA